AUUGAACGCUGGCGGCAGGCCUAACACAUGCAAGUCGAACGGUAACAGGAAGAAGCUUGCUUCUUUGCUGACGAGUGGCGGACGGGUGAGUAAUGUCUGGGAAACUGCCUGAUGGAGGGGGGUAACUACUGGAAACGGUAGCUAAUACCGCAUAACGUCGCAAGACCAAAGAGGGGGACCUUCGGGCCUCUUGCCAUCGGAUGUGCCCAGAUGGGAUUAGCUAGUAGGUGGGGUAACGGCUCACCUAGGCGACGAUCCCUAGCUGGUCUGAGAGGAUGACCAGCCACACUGGAACUGAGACACGGUCCAGACUCCUACGGGAGGCAGCAGUGGGGAAUAUUGCACAAUGGGCGCAAGCCUGAUGCAGCCAUGCCGCGUGUAUGAAGAAGGCCUUCGGGUUGUAAAGUACUUUCAGCGGGGAGGAAGGGGGUAAAGUUAAUACCUUUACUCAUUGACGUUACCCGCAGAAGAAGCACCGGCUAACUCCGUG
rnacentral:rRNA from 1 species